rnacentral:rRNA from 1 species
GACAGAGGUGCCAAGCGUUAGGCGGAAUCACUGGGCUUAAAGCGUGUGUAGGCGGAUCGUUAAGUACCUUGUGAAAUCCCACGGCUCAACCGUGGAACUGCUGGGUAUACUGGCGGUCUUGAGCCACCUAGGGGCAACUGGAACAAGCGGUGGAGCGGUGAAAUGCGUAGAUAUCGCUUGGAACGCCAACGGUGAAACAGGUGUCUGGGGGUGUGCUGACGCUGAGACACGAAAGCCAGGGGAGCGAACGGG